UGGGGAAUAUUGCACAAUGGGGGAAACCCUGAUGCAGCGACGCCGCGUGAACGAAGAAGGUAUUCGUAUCGUAAAGUUCUGUCCUAUGGGAAGAUAAUGACAGUACCAUAGAAGAAAGCUCCGGCUAAAUACGUGCCAGCAGCCGCGGUAAUACGUAUGGAGCGAGCGUUGUCCGGAAUUAUUGGGCGUAAAGGGUACGCAGGCGGUUUAAUAAGUCGAAUGUUAAAGAUCGGGGCUCAACCCCGUAAAGCAUUGGAAACUGAUAAACUUGAGUAGUGGAGAGGAAAGUGGAAUUCCUAGUGUAGUGGUGAAAUGCGCAGAUAUUAGGAAGAAUACCGGUGGCGAAGGCGACUUUCUGGUCAUCAUCUGACGCUGAGGUACGAAAGCGUGGGUAGCAAACAGG
rnacentral:rRNA from 1 species